rnacentral:rRNA from 1 species
UUGCCAGACUCCUACGGGAGGCAGCAGUGAGGAAUAUUGGUCAAUGGGCGGAAGCCUGAACCAGCCAAGUCGCGUGAGGGAAGAAGGCCCUGCGGGUCGCAGACCUCUUUGGACGGGGAGCAAGGCCGCCGACGUGUCGGCGGAAGGAGAGUACCCGUAGAACAAGCAUCGGCUAACUACGUGCCAGCAGCCGCGGUAAUACGUAGGUGGCAAGCGUUAUCCGGAUUUAUUGGGUGUAAAGGGCGUGUAGGCGGGAGCGCAAGUCAGAUGUGAAAACUCAGGGCUCAACCCUGAGCCUGCAUUUGAAACUGUGUUUCUUGAGUGCUGGAGAGGCAAUCGGAAUUCCGUGUGUAGCGGUGAAAUGCGUAGAUAUUAGGAGGAACACCAGUGGCGAAGGCGGUCUGCUGGACAGCAACUGACGCUGAGGCGCGAAAGCGUGGGGAGCAAACAGGAUUAGAUACCCGAGUA